rnacentral:rRNA from 1 species
AGCGAACGCUGGCGGCAGGCCUAACACAUGCAAGUCGAACGAACCUUUCGGGGUUAGUGGCGGACGGGUGAGUAACACGUGGGAACGUGCCUUUAGGUUCGGAAUAACUCAGGGAAACUUGUGCUAAUACCGAAUGUGCCCUUCGGGGGAAAGAUUAAUCGCCUUUAGAGCGGCCCGCGUCUGAUUAGCUAGUUGGUUGAGGUAAUGGCUCACCAAGGCGACGAUCAGUAGCUGGUCUGAGAGGAUGAUCAGCCACAUUGGGACUGAGACACGGCCCAAACUCCUACGGGAGGCAGCAGUGGGGAAUCUUGCGCAAUGGGCGAAAGUCUGACGCAGCCAUGCCGCGUGAAUGAUGAAGGUCUUAGGAUUGUAAAAUUCUUUCACCGGGGACGAUAAUGACGGUACCCGGAGAAGAAGCCCCGGCUAACUUCGUG